rnacentral:rRNA from 1 species
UUUUAUGAGAGUUUGAUCCUGGCUCAGGACGAACGCUGGCGGCGUGCCUAAUACAUGCAAGUCGAACGCUUCUUUUUCCACCGGAGCUUGCUCCACCGGAAAAAGAGGAGUGGCGAACGGGUGAGUAACACGUGGGUAACCUGCCCAUCAGAAGGGGAUAACACUUGGAAACAGGUGCUAAUACCGUAUAACAAUCGAAACCGCAUGGUUUUGAUUUGAAAGGCGCUUUCGGGUGUCGCUGAUGGAUGGACCCGCGGUGCAUUAGCUAGUUGGUGAGGUAACGGCUCACCAAGGCCACGAUGCAUAGCCGACCUGAGAGGGUGAUCGGCCACAUUGGGACUGAGACACGGCCCAAACUCCUACGGGAGGCAGCAGUAGGGAAUCUUCGGCAAUGGACGAAAGUCUGACCGAGCAACGCCGCGUGAGUGAAGAAGGUUUUCGGAUCGUAAAACUCUGUUGUUAGAGAAGAACAAGGAUGAGAGUAACUGUUCAUCCCUUGACGGUAUCUAACCAGAAAGCCACGGCUAACUACGUGCCAGCAGCCGCGGUAAUACGUAGGUGGCAAGCGUUGUCCGGAUUUAUUGGGCGUAAAGCGAGCGCAGGCGGUUUCUUAAGUCUGAUGUGAAAGCCCCCGGCUCAACCGGGGAGGGUCAUUGGAAACUGGGAGACUUGAGUGCAGAAGAGGAGAGUGGAAUUCCAUGUGUAGCGGUGAAAUGCGUAGAUAUAUGGAGGAACACCAGUGGCGAAGGCGGCUCUCUGGUCUGUAACUGACGCUGAGGCUCGAAAGCGUGGGGA